AUUGAACGCUGGCGGCGUGCUUAACACAUGCAAGUCGUGCGGUAACAGGCGUAGCAAUACGUGCUGACGAGCGGCGAACGGGUGCGUAAUACAUGGGAAUCUGCCCUUUAGUGGGGAAUAACCCGGCGAAAGCCGGGCUAAUGCCGCAUAAGAUCUUCGGAUGAAAGCGGGGGAUCGUAAGACCUCGCGCUGAUGGAUGAGCCCAUGCCGGAUUAGCUAGUUGGUGAGGUAACGGCUCACCAAGGCGACGAUCCGUAGCUGGUCUGAGAGGACGGCCAGCCACACUGGGACUGAGACACGGCCCAGACUCCUACGGGAGGCAGCAGUGGGGAAUAUUGGACAAUGGGGAAACCCUGAUCCAGCGACGCCGCGUGUGUGAAGAAGGCCUGCGGGUU
rnacentral:rRNA from 1 species